rnacentral:rRNA from 1 species
GAUGAACGCUGGCGGCGUGCCUAAUACAUGCAAGUCGAGCGAACAGACGAGGAGCUUGCUCCUCUGACGUUAGCGGCGGACGGGUGAGUAACACGUGGAUAACCUACCUAUAAGACUCGGAUAACUUCGGGAAACCGGAGCUAAUACCGGAUAAUAUAUUGAACCGCAUGGUUCAAUAGUGAAAGACGGUUUUGCUGUCACUUAUAGAUAGAUCCGCGCCGCAUUAGCUAGUUGGUAAGGUAACGGCUUACCAAGGCAACGAUGCGUAGCCGACCUGAGAGGGUGAUCGGCCACACUGGAACUGAGACACGGUCCAGACUCCUACGGGAGGCAGCAGUAGGGAAUCUUCCGCAAAGGGCGAAAGCCUGACGGAGCAACGCCGCGUGAGUGAUGAAGGUCUUCGGAUCGUAAAACUCUGUUAUUAGGGAAGAACAAAUGUGUAAGUAACUAUGCACGUCUUGACGGUACCUAAUCAGAAAGCCACGGCUAACUACGUG